UACCAUUCAUUGUUCAUGCACAACAUGUGCAUCCGACCCACUCCUGAAGAGCUGGAGGACUUUGGAACUCCGGACUUCACUAUUUACAAUGCCGGGCAGUUCCCAUGUAAUCGUUACACCCACUACAUGACUUCCUCCACUAGCAUAGACAUCAAUCUUGCUAGGAGGGAAAUGGUUAUCCUUGGCACCCAGUAUGCUGGGGAAAUGAAGAAAGGUCUUUUCAGCGUAAUGCAUUAUCUCAUGCCUAAGCGUCAAAUUCUCUCCCUUCACUCUGGCUGCAAUAUGGGAAAAAAUGGGGAUGUUGCCCUCUUCUUUGGAUUAUCAGGUACUGGAAAGACUACUCUGUCUACUGACCACAAUAGGUAUUUAAUUGGGGAUGAUGAACACUGCUGGAGCGAGAAUGGUGUGUCAAACAUUGAAGGAGGUUGCUAUGCCAAGUGUGUUGAUCUUUCGAAAGAGAAAGAGCCUGAUAUCUGGAACGCCAUUAAGUUUGGAGCAGUGCUGGAGAAUGUAGUGUUUGAUGAGCAUACUCGAGAAGUAGAUUACAUUGACAAAUCUGUCACAGAAAACACAAGGGCAGCAUAUCCUAUAGAGUAUAUUCCGAAUGCUAAGAUACCAUGUGUUGGUCCGCAUCCAAAGAAUGUCAUCCUUCUGGCAUGUGAUGCAUUUGGAGUUCUCCCGCCUGUGAGCAAGCUGAGCUUGGCACAGACCAU
rnacentral:misc_RNA from 1 species